AUUGAACGCUGGCGGCAUGCUUUACACAUGCCAGUCGAACGGCAGCGCGGGCUUCGGCCUGGCGGCGAGUGGCGAACGGGUGAGUAAUGCAUCGGAACGUGCCCAGUAGUGGGGGAUAGCCCGGCGAAAGCCGGAUUAAUACCGCAUACGACCUGAGGGUGAAAGCGGGGGACCGAAAGGCCUCGCGCUAUUGGAGCGGCCGAUGUCGGAUUAGCUAGUUGGUGGGGUAAAGGCUUACCAAGGCGACGAUCCGUAGCUGGUCUGAGAGGACGACCAGCCACACUGGGACUGAGACACGGCCCAGACUCCUACGGGAGGCAGCAGUGGGGAAUUUUGGACAAUGGGGGCAACCCUGAUCCAGCCAUGCCGCGUGCGGGAAGAAGGCCUUCGGGUUGUAAACCGCUUUUGUUCGGGAAGAAAUCCUCUGAGCUAAUACCCCGGGGGGAUGACGGUACCGGAAGAAUAAGCACCGGCUAACUACGUG
rnacentral:rRNA from 1 species